GCUUACGGCCUCACUGCCUGGUUCACGCCCGAUCUCGUUUGUUCUCGGAAGCUAAGAUAGGUUGGGCCUGGUUAGUACUUGGAUGGGACGGCGCCUGGGAAUACCAGGUGCUGUAAGCU
ensembl:rRNA 5S_rRNA 5S ribosomal RNA